rnacentral:rRNA from 1 species
UACACUCCUGCGGGAGGCAGCAGUGGGGAAUAUUGCACAAUGGGCGCAAGCCUGAUGCAGCCAUGCCGCGUGUAUGAAGAAGGCCUUCGGGUUGUAAAGUACUUUCAGCGGGGAGGAAGGCAAUACGGUUAAUAACCGUGUUGAUUGACGUUACCCGCAGAAGAAGCACCGGCUAACUCCGUGCCAGCAGCCGCGGUAAUACGGAGGGUGCAAGCGUUAAUCGGAAUUACUGGGCGUAAAGCGCACGCAGGCGGUCUGUCAAGUCGGAUGUGAAAUCCCCGGGCUCAACCUGGGAACUGCAUUCGAAACUGGCAGGCUUGAGUCUUGUAGAGGGGGGUAGAAUUCCAGGUGUAGCGGUGAAAUGCGUAGAGAUCUGGAGGAAUACCGGUGGCGAAGGCGGCCCCCUGGACAAAGACUGACGCUCAGGUGCGAAAGCGUGGGGAGCAAACAGGAUUAGAUACCCCGGUAGUCCCA